UACGUAGGGCGCAAGCGUUGUCCGGAAUUAUUGGGCGUAAAGAGCUCGUAGGCGGUUUGUCGCGUCUGCUGUGAAAUCCCGAGGCUCAACCUCGGGCUUGCAGUGGGUACGGGCAGACUAGAGUGCGGUAGGGGAGACUGGAAUUCCUGGUGUAGCGGUGGAAUGCGCAGAUAUCAGGAGGAACACCGAUGGCGAAGGCAGGUCUCUGGGCCGCAACUGACGCUGAGGAGCGAAAGCGUGGGUAGCAAACAGG
rnacentral:rRNA from 1 species